rnacentral:rRNA from 1 species
GUGCCAGCCGCCGCGGUAAAACGUAGGACGCGAGCGUUAUCCGGAGUUACUGGGCGUAAAGGGCGGGCAGGCGGCCAGACAAGAUGGGCGUGAAAUCUCCCGGCUCAACCGGGAGAGGCCGCUCGUGACUGUUUGGCUGGAGGGCGACAGAGGAGCGUGGAAUUCCGGGUGGAGUGGUGAAAUGCGUAGAGAUCCGGAGGAACACCAGAGGCGAAGGCGGCGCUCUGGGUCGCGCCUGACGCUGAACCGCGAAAGCCAGGGGAGCGAACGGGAUUAGAUACCCUUGUAGUCC